rnacentral:rRNA from 1 species
CUAGCAUAUCAAUAAGCGGAGGAAAAGAAACCAACAGGGAUUGCCCUAGUAACGGCGAGUGAAGCGGCAACAGCUCAAAUUUGAAAUCUGGCUCUUUUAGGGUCCGAGUUGUAAUUUGCAGAGGGCGCUUUGGCUUUGGCAGCGGUCCAAGUUCCUUGGAACAGGACGUCACAGAGGGUGAGAAUCCCGUACGUGGUCGCUAGCUAUUGCCGUGUAAAGCCCCUUCGACGAGUCGAGUUGUUUGGGAAUGCAGCUCUAAAUGGGAGGUAAAUUUCUUCUAAAGCUAAAUAUUGGCCAGAGACCGAUAGCGCACAAGUAGAGUGAUCGAAAGAUGAAAAGCACUUUGGAAAGAGAGUCAAACAGCACGUGAAAUUGUUGAAAGGGAAGCGCUUGCAGCCAGACUUGCUUGCAGUUGCUCAUCCGGGCUUUUGCCCGGUGCACUCUUCUGUAGGCAGGCCAGCAUCAGUUUGGGCGGUGGGAUAAAGGUCUCUGUCACGUACCUCUCUUCGGGGAGGCCUUAUAGGGGAGACGACAUACCACCAGCCUAGACUGAGGUCCGCGCAUCUGCUAGGAUGCUGGCGUAAUGGCUGUAAGCGGCCCGUCUUGAAACACGGACCAAGGAGUCUAACAUCUAUGCGAGUGUUUGGGUGUCAAGCCCGAGCGCGUAAUGAAAGUGAACGGAGGUGGGAACCCGCAAGGGUGCACCAUCGACCGAUCCUGAAGUUUUCGGAAGGAUUUGAGUAAGAGCAUGGCUGUUGGGACCCGAAAGAUGGUGAACUAUGCUUGAAUAGGGUGAAGCCAGAGGAAACUCUGGUGGAGGCUCGCAGCGGUUCUGACGUGCAAAUCGAUCGUCAAAUUUGGGCAUAGGGGCGAAAGACUAAUCGAACUAUCUAGUAGCU